CACGUAGGGGGCAAGCGUUGUCCGGAUUUAUUGGGCGUAAAGAGCUCGUAGGCGGUUCGGUAAGUCGGGUGUGAAACCCCCAGGCUCAACCUGGAGACGCCACCCGAUACUGCUGUGACUAGAGUCCGGUAGGGGAGCGUGGAAUUCCUGGUGUAGCGGUGAAAUGCGCAGAUAUCAGGAGGAACACCAGCGGCGAAGGCGGCGCUCUGGGCCGGAACUGACGCUGAGGAGCGAAAGCGUGGGGAGCAAACAGG
rnacentral:rRNA from 1 species